GGCCUCAUCGUCUAGUGGUCAGGACGCCAGAUUCUCAUUCUGGUAACAAGGGUUCGACUCCCUUUGAGGCCA
rnacentral:tRNA from 1 species